UACGUAGGGUGCGAGCGUUGUCCGGAAUUAUUGGGCGUAAAGAGCUUGUAGGCGGUCUGUCGCGUCUGCUGUGAAAAUCCGGGGCUCAACCCCGGACUUGCAGCGGGUGCGGGCAGACUAGAGUGUGGUAGGGGAGACUGGAAUUCCUGGUGUAGCGGUGAAAUGCGCAGAUAUCAGGAGGAACACCGAUGGCGAAGGCAGGUCUCUGGGCCACUACUGACGCUGAGAAGCGAAAGCAUGGGGAGCGAACAGG
rnacentral:rRNA from 1 species